AUUAUAAAAAGCUUGCGAAUUGGUAAGCCUCGUUCCGACUCUUUAAGCUUAUCAACCUUACAGCCUGAGCAGUUCUCAUAAUAUUUCUUCUUCAGCAGCGGCUCUCUCACUUUCGCCUCCGCCAUACUUGAAAAAUUUUCAGCUCAAGUAAUCGUCUUAGUCUAUGCAAUCCAAUUUCAAUGCCUAAAUAUAAGUACUAGAAAAUAAGUAACAAAAUCAAUAUGCUUAAGGAUAUAGUAGAACUAUAUAAGUGAUCAUUUAAAGAAUUUUCAAUAGAAUUGUAAAAUCAGUUGAUUUUGCAGCUGGGUCUGUCACCACCAUGGUAAUUAAAAUUAUUGGAUCCCAUGUAAAACAAAAUUUUUUCAUUACAUGCCCUCAUUGCUGACGUCCAAUUAAUCAUUACUCUUAUGAGAAUAAUUUUUGGUGACAAGAACGGCGGCAUCCUAGGACGUGACAAAAUAGUCACAAAAAUCCCUUAUUUUAAAAAAUGAUCAUGAAAAUUUAUCCACGGACACACAAAUUCAGGAUCUAUGUAACUAUUUUUAAUUACAAAAAGAGGUCUAUAUAUAUAUUUGAAAAUAAGGGAUAUUCAUGAUUACCAUGUUAAGCCACGAGAUAUCAUGCUGUUUUUUUUAUUUUUCAUUAAAUCGUUGUUACACAAUUCGACAUGUAAAAGUAAUUUAUUUUUUUUGAGAGAUGGUAACAAACAUAGUGACAAAACUAUCAUAGUACAGUCUAAUGAUGAAACUAAUUGUUAAUUAAUUAAUAAAAAUACUAAGUGACUGUAGCGGUUCCGGUCACAGUCACAGUCAAAUACAAUUAGGAUAAUUUAAUUUAAAUAAUGUGUAAUUUAGCGUUAGCCCCAAUUGUUUCGACAUUUUGCAUUGUGCCCCCCAAUCUUCCGACCAUGUCCACCACCCUCAUUUCUUUCAAAUCUAAUGUUAACGGAAAGAAGGGUAGAAUGGUAAUUAACACAAGAUUAAAAUAAUAUAUAUAAUUAAAAAAAACCCUUUUUCCUUCGCCGCCUCUAUAAUUUAAUUUUGGGUUUGAUAUCUUUAGUUUUAAGAUUUUUGAUUAUUGGGUUUCUUUUUAUCGAAUUUUCUUAGUAUGAAUUUAUUUUGUAAUAGAAUUUUACAAUGAAAUUUGCUCUCAGGGAUUUUGGUAUCAUUAGUUUAGGGUUUCUUUCUAUUGGGUUUUAUGUGGGAUUAUUGGACUUAUUUUGUAAUGUACUGAUGAAUGUGUGUUUGAUUUUUUUCUUUCACAUUGGAAUCAUGCUUUGCCUUUGAUUUUGUAAUUUACUAGGUUUAUAAUCUUGGGUUCGUAAUCCGGAAAAAAAUCGUUUCCAUAUAAUUUUAAAAAUAUUAUAAUAAAUUUUUACUUUUUGAUUUAAAUUUUAUUAGUUGUAAGGGUAUUUUAAUACUUAUAUACCCAAUUCAUUUCAAAAUAGGGGUAGUAUAGUCUUUUAAAUUUAUAACAGCCUAAAUAGUUAGAUUAGUUGAUUUUUUAAUAGAAAUAGGGGGAGGUGCACAUGGUCAAAAGAUGUGGGUGCGCUGUGUGAAAUACUGAACAAUUGGGGGCUGAUGCUUAAUUAUCCUUAAAUAAAUUAUUAGUUUAAUGGAAGGAGCAAAAUUCAGGAAAAGAGGAAUCAAACUGCGAAAGGAAUUAGGAAACCUGAAAAGAAAGAAUGAAAAUAACUUUUUUUUUUAAAUUAUUUAUUUGGACAUUGUGACAAACAAGUGAUGUGCAUUGUUAAUUCUGAUUACCCCAAAAUGUCAAGUCUUGAAAAACGACAACAUUACAUGAUUCAUGAGAAGCCUAUCACUUUGAGAUUAAUUUAAUUAAAAAAAAGUUCCGUUUGCUUAAUACUAAAAUGUCACGCGCAAGUUGUCCUGGACUAGAGAGUCGUUCACCCGUACUUACACUGUCACUGCAUUUGCUUGAAAAAUGAUUUUACUAGCAAUAGGUUCUCGUGUUUCGAUAGCUUUCUAAGUGGUUUAUUUACAGGUAUUCAAAAUAUAAAUUAUUGCUAUGAUUUUAGAAAAUAUUGUAUUUUUUUUUUGUAAUUUAUAUUAAAAUUUUGCGACAAUUGUUUGGCUGGAAUUUUUUUUAAUAAGAAAAAUAGUGAUCUCACACUGAUCCAUAGUUGAGCCAAUUACCUAGUUAAAAGCUACCUCCAUAUUUUUUAUUUUUUACCCUAAUGCAUGUCUGAUUCUUUUAAAAUUUUACGUUAUAUAUAUUAAACAAAAAUUAUAAUUUUAAUCAUUGAAAAAUUCAUGACAGACAUCAUUUGAAUAAUUUUUUUUUUUUUUGAAAAAUACAGAGCUAGAGAUAAUGCUAUAAUUGAUUGAAUAAGAAGGCUACAACUUGAUGAUAACUUUAUUGCAAUGUUGCGUGAUCUCAAUAUAUUAUUGGCUUUUGUGUGAGUAAAAGUUGCUGGCUCGUGUUUUACUAAUUUGCCUUUGUAUUUGACUGGCUCGACAAAGAAUCGAUUUACCUCAUACCCAAAUUACAAACAUCGAAACCGGAUCUGUCAUUACGUUAAUUGGCCUCCUAAAAUAAUCAAUCACUUUCUCUUUAGUCUACCAUCCACUCUUUCCAGUCGCUUACUUUCAUUCUAAUCAUCUAAACGGCUCUUUGCUACUGUUUCUUCUAUUCGUCAUUGUUCUUGUUCUGUUAUUAUUUAGCUUUGCUCACUCCUCAGUCUCAUUUCUUAUUCUGUACCCAUCAGCUCUUUUACUUUCCUUUGGCUUUCUUCGCUUCUAUGUUUUUCUCAGGAUUCGAGAUGCUGGAAAUCAUUGUGACUAUCGUCUUGGAACUUGUAAAAUGCUUGGCUCCUCCAACUGAACGCCAACUUGUGCAUUUGCGAAAGCGGAACUACAAUGCCAACUUUGAGAAUAUCAAGGCGGAAAUGGAGAAGUUGAAGGUUGAACGUACGAGCAUUCAGCACAGAGUUUCAGAGGCGGAAGAAAAAGGGGAAGAGAUUGAAGAGAAGGUUGAAAAGUGGCUGGUUAGUGCGAAGUGCGAACGGCAUCAUUGACCGGGCAGCCAAAUUCAUUGAAGAUGAGGAGUCAACGAAUAAGCGCUGUGUCAAGGGCUUGAGUCCUAUUUGGAAGAGUCGCUAUCAGCUUAGCAAGAAAGCAGAGACGGAGGUGAAGGGCAUUAUUGAACUAGGAGAAGAAGUUAGGAAGUUUGAUACUGUUUCCCACCGUACCAUUCGGGAGGAGAUAUGGCUUAAGUCUAGCAAUGGUUACGAGGCCUUCGAAUCAAGACUUUCUACUUUGCAGUCUAUAAAAAAUGCAUUGACGGAGGCGAAUGUCAGCAUUAUUGGGGUGCACGGCAUAGGCGGCAUUGGAAAGACCACACUGGUGAAGGAGUUUGCUAGGCAAGCCAGGGAAAAGAAGCUGUUUUAUCGGGUGGUUUUAUCAGAGGUUUCAUAAACUCCAGAGACAAAAAAGAUUCAAGGGGAAAUUGCAGAGAAGUUAGGUCUGGAGUUGUCCGAUGAAGCUGAAUAUAGAAGAGCUAGCAAGCUGUAUGACCGAUUGAAGAGUGAGAAUAAGAUUCUUGUGAUUCUACAUAAUAUCUGGAAACAUCUUGAAUUGGAGACGGUUGGAAUUCCUUUUGGAAAUAAUCAUAAAGGAUGUAGACUGUUGCUGACAGCACGAGAUAAUACUGUGCUUUUAGGUAUGGGCUCCAAAGAUAACUUUUUGAUUGGCAAUCUAACUGAACAAGAAGCCUGGAGAUUGUUUAAGAUAAUGAAUGGUGAUGAUGUUGAAAAUUGUAAGUUCAAGUCUACAGCAAUUAAUGUAGUUAAGGCAUGUGGAGGUUUGCCCAUUGCGUUGAGGGCACUGAGAAACAAGAGUCUCCAUGAAUGGAAGAAUGCCUUGCGAGAGCUCCGAACGCCUUCAAUGGUAAACUUCGAAGGUGUGUCUGCAGAGACUUAUUCAAGUAUUGAGCUGAGUUUCAAUUAUUUAAAAGGUGAGCAAGUCAAGAAAAUUUUUCUGCUUUGUCGUCUAGUAGGUAACAGUGUUUGGUUUUCAGACUUAUUUAGAUACUCCAUGGGUUUGGGCAUAUUUCAAGGAGUCAACAUUCCCUUCAUAUUUACCAAAGGUAAGUGAUAAAUCCUACAUAUCCCGCUCAAGAAUGCAUAUGUUUUUUCAAUCUCAAGUACCUAAAGUUUUCUUCUAAGUUUAUAAAAAUUUCAGCACCAUCUCCCUAUAAUUCUCCAAGCUCACGACAAAGCUAUAUAAGUGAUGCGUUAUGCCAAAACAACACAUGACACCCAUUCACCUAGUACGUACCCAGAGAACACGAGGAGAAGCUACCGUAAAAGCCAUUUUUACGUGGGAAGAAAACUUCAGCUACUAGCUACCAGAGAGAACUAUGCAUUCCCAAACUGUCCAAGCCUGGACAAUUCAAGAAUUAUUAAUAGACAUAUGAUCCUCACUAUCAUCCAAAGAUGACACUAAUACAACAUGUGUCUAUUAAUAAUUUCUUAAACAAGUCUAAGCUUUCAAUGCACGUAUCAAAAGUUUAAAAUUGAAUCUGAAAUUUGAAUAACACAUAAAUAUCAUAAAUCUCUUCAAUUUAUUCCUGAUACAAUGUAGCAUUAUUUCACAUAUCAUUUCUUAAGCAAAACCAUAAAAAAUACAAACAAUAAAUACAUUUUCCCACUGAUGCAGAUUAUGUUUACUGAGCAAUAAGUUUUAUGUCAUUCAUGUUGAAAUACUUCUGCCUAUUCUUUCAACAUAUAACUAGUACAUACACAAAAAAAAAACCUGGUGGUGAAUCUUGCAAAAUCUUCCUUUUUUCUUUUUUUUUUCUUUUUCUUCUUUUUUUGGGGUGGGGUGUUGGGGGAACUAUGAAUCUUGCAAAUCCUCAAGAAGCCAUGUUAAGACAAGGCCAGCUUACUAUUGGGGUAUGAAAGAUAAAACCUUUUAUUUCCUUUUCAAAAUAAAAAGGACAUUGACAGUGUUAAAAAAAAUCUAGAGGAUUUCAGGCCUCCAGAUCCUUACAAAUCAAGGAUAUUAAAAAAAAUUACUUAGAGGAGAAAGGUUAUGCUCAUUUGUAUCUUGUUAGAAGAAAUUGAUCCAAAGCCUCAGUUUUAAUUUGCUUCAUAUAGCCAAUGACUAGGUGUUUAAAAACCAAUGAAUAUUUUUAUAAGAAAUCAACAAUAUUGUUGAAAGAAAAACCAAAUAAAAAUAAUAAAGCCAAUGAAUAGAUCAAGGCUCUUUGUGGUCUAAAACUAAUCAAACUAAGUUGUGGGCAAAGGCAAAUAUGUUUGUUUGGUCAAUAAUAAGCUCAACAAGUCACUAAUAACCACCUAAUCACUAUUCCUUAUGCUAUGCAAUAUAAUGGCCUGGGUAAUGGCGCCAAGGCAGACAAUAAGUAGCUAGCCAGUUAUGAUAGUUGAUUAACUUAACCUACUGGAAAUCUGAAGACCAAAACGAAGAAGCUUUGUCUAGAACUAGAAUAGGAACAUUCGUACCCAAAACUAAUAUACACAAUUAAGAAACUUGAUUAUAUGUAUAUUUCUGUUGGCCACACUUAAAGAGAAUUUCCAAAAGAUGCUAAGGUACACCAAAUCCCACUAUUUCAUACUCAUAAACACAAAAAACCAUGGUAAAAAUUAAUGACUAUAUCAAAUAAAAUCGGUGAUAGGACAUUGAGAUUAGGACAACUUGAUUUGUAUACCGUAAAAUAACUAUAUCUGCAUGGUGAACUAUAUUUCUGUUAGAAGUCUGAAGUUUUCUAUUAAAUUUUUUUCUCUGUUGGGUAAACCACUUAACUGAAGUGCUUAAGCCAAUUUUGACAAUCAUAGACAUAAAAGUAUUAAUAGGCUCAUUCAAGUGAAAUGAGCAUUAUUUCACACAUCCUUUAGGUUUUUAAGUCAUUUAGAAGUCAUUCAUGUUAAAAAAAAAAUUCAUAUACUUUCAAUAUAAUUAGAACAUACACAAUUAAUUAAUUAAAUAAAUCUGUUUCAGCUAGUAUAGGAACUUAAUUAAUCAAAGCUAGUAGUUAUAGCUAGGACUUGAACGAGGCACCUUUCAAAGUUCAAGAAGAGCAUCUGAACAUAAUGAAAGCACUUUGUAGAUAUGGUAAUGAUGCUUUACAUCUACAUGCUCUUACACAGCAUGAACUUUCAUUUACUCCAAGCUCUUAUUCUACAAGUCAAUUCAGUUUGUAGAUGCACGCCAUUGUAAAAACUUUUGUAUUAUAAUUUCUGAAAAUAGAAUGUAACAUUAUUAAUAUAGAAUCAGCAAUGUAUAUAACUUAUCAGACAAUAUAACAAGCACUUGGUGAGCAUACAAGAUAAACUAAAACAAGUCAUCCAGAAAAUGAAACUAAAACCCAAGCUCCGCUAUUCAUUGUAGAUGCUUUAAACAUAAAAUUAAACUAAAUCUAAUAGCAAAACAUUAGAAUGGAUGUUGGAAUUAAAGCUAAAUUCAAUAGUAAUUCAAAUGAAUCCAUUUGAACUUUGUAAAUUCCGCAGAACAAAAUUAAUUUGAGUGAGCAAACUCACCAAUGGAACAAGAACACAGGGGCUUCAACUUGUAGGAAUAAAAAAAUAUUGCUGGCGGGACAAAAAUUGACAAUAAUGGCUACAAUACGAAUUUAAAAAAAAUUCAAAAUCUAUAAUUACAAGCUAAGUAAGAGAAGAAACUCAUAAUCACAAGCUUACCUCAAAAGAUGAAGGGAGAAUACGAUGAAGAAGAAGAUGCCCGGUGUUUUACGCCGUUCGCCGGCAACCAGUUAGGUUUACGAUGGUGGCUAGUCCAGCGAAUAGUUUUCUAACUGGAAAUAAAUUUAAAUUUCUAAAAUAGUGCUAUGCCGAACGGCUCUUUACCGUCACGUGGUUAGUAACAUAUGUGACAGCAGUGUGGCCGUCACAUAAAGGGUAACAAAAGCAACUCGAGGUUACAAAGUUAGAAGUUAGUGGCAUGCGUAAUGG
rnacentral:lncRNA from 1 species